UACGGAGGGUGCAAGCGUUAAUCGGAAUUACUGGGCGUAAAGCGUGCGCAGGCGGUUUGUUAAGUCCGCGGUGAAAUCCCCGAGCUCAACUUGGGAAUUGCAGUGGAUACUGGCAAGCUGGAGUAUGGUAGAGGAAGGUGGAAUUCCCGGUGUAGCAGUGAAAUGCGUAGAGAUCGGGAGGAACACCAGUGGCGAAGGCGGCCUUCUGGACCAAUACUGACGCUCAUGCACGAAAGCGUGGGGAGCAAACAGG
rnacentral:rRNA from 1 species